rnacentral:lncRNA from 1 species
CUGCAUGGGCGAGUGUCCACUGGAAGCCACUGAGAGGAAGGAGGGAAACCUCAGAAACCGGCCCCUGCCUGGCUGCUUCACCCUAGAAAGCCCAGGCAGAGGAGGGAAAGGGACCUACAGAAAAUAUGUGGCACCUCGGCAGCCUGGCCUGCAGCACUCCCCUCCCCAUCGGUGAGUCCUGCUACAGUGGGUCCAGGUGUCUGGACGCCCGGCACGCACGGCUCUCUGCAGACCUCUGGACAGUACCAUGGGAGCCGCACAGUCCCUGCCUGUUCUGUCCGGCAGUUCUUGUUUCCCAGCACCCUGUCUCAGGGUGAAUAUGGAAGUCCUCUUGUUUCCAUGUCAUGAUGAAGGAAAGCAAGGACCAUCUUUUGCCAAGGAACAGUGGCUGUGGGGGAACUGAGGAGAUGGAAGGACAAGGCAGUCAAAAGCUUUGGAACAACUCUUUUUUUGAGAUGGAGUUUUGCUCUUGUUGUCCAGGCUGGAGUGCAAUGGCACGACCUCGGCUCACCACAACCGCUGCCUCCCAGGUUCAAGUGAUUCUCCUGCCUCAGCCUCCCGAGUAGCUGGGAUUGCAGGGGAGUGCCGAGUUUCACCCUUGUCGCCCAGGCUGGAGUGCAAUGGUGCGAUCUCUGCUCACUGCAACCUCUGCCUCCCAGGUUCAAGUGAUUCUCCUGCCUCAGCCUCCCAACUAGCUGUGAUUACAGCUGUGGAGACCUACCAACAUCAAUGCAAACCAGAAGCUAACACCCAGUUCAUAUAUCCCAAGUGGAAGGAAGCUUCUCGUGGAAUUGUCUUACAUGACAGUAACAUAAAUCCUGAAGGAGAUUGGUGGCUCCAUCAAAAAGGAGUUAAAAAGAAGCAGCACUAUUUUGUGGAAUACAAUCAUCACCAUUAUCACCAUCAGCACCACCAACCAGCACCACCAUUAUCAAAAGCAUUCACCUGGUGUCUGCCUUACAAACUGCAAACUGCAGUAGGUAUUUGUAAUAGAAUGUUUCCUUUCCCCCUUGGGAUCUGCAGAAAAGCUGGAGAAUGUUUUGGUAUCAACACACUAGGUUGCAUUGCUAAUCAUGUGAUGGCCCCAUGACAGUCUCUGUUGGCUGGUGUAGUUCAGGUGGACGACUGCAGGAUUUUGUUCUUGGAGCCUCAGUUCUGACUGGGCUUGGGGUGUAAAAGGUUUGGGAGCCAGAUGACAAGAGUAUUUGAUGGGUAGAAUAAUGGGUUCAUCCAAAAGAUCACCAGAAUGGUUAUUAAAUAGUACAAAGGAGGAAUUUACUGGUAAUACCAGUUUGCAAACAGAGAAGAGAGUCUCCAAUGUGGACUGAAAGUGCUCUCUCUUUGAAGAGGGGAAGGACAGAUUGGGUUUUAUGCCUCACAGGACUGGUACCAUACAUAUUCAGCAGGUUUUUGGGGAAAAUCUAUACAUAUUUAUAAGGUGAGCUGAUGCCUGCAUAAUAGAUAAACAUAUAUGUAACAUACUUUUCAUAUUCAUUUUGGGACUGGGUUUUGGCACUAAAAUUUGUGGAAUUUGGCUCUUUAUGUUAAAAGGUGAACUAGAGGACACAAAGACGGUUUGUGUGCACCCUCUAUAAACUGGCUGAAACUGGCUUAAGGUCUGCAACUGCUUAUCCAAAAAGAAUGUUUGUAAGGCCAGGCCUCUGUCCAGUCAGAGUUGUAGUGGUCCAGGUUGUAAAUCAAAGUUUAUAGCUCUUUUUGUUAGAGAGUUCAGCUGUAGGAAUUUAGAAAUUUGCCAUGCCUGCCAGGCCCUGAACCUUUGACCCAUAGGUAACUUUAUUUCCUUAACCUUAGGGUCAGUCUUAGUUGAUAUGGGGCAUCUAUUCUGGUAUCUCAGAUCCUAUGGUCAAGAGAAAAGAUCCUCCACAAGAGGGUCCUAUGUGGCUGCAAAAACUGCUCUGAGCUAAAUCCACUCAAAAUCACUGCAGGAUGUCACUACUAGAAAAUAGGGCAGGGAUAGGGAUCCCCUUCCCAUGCUGCCAGAAAAUGCCUGAUAGCUUACCUCCCCCGGCCCUUGAGGCUCCCUUGGAAUAGGCACAUGCAAUCCCAUCUCCACCCAAUAGAGCUUGUCCUAGAGCUCAGUUUUUUCCCAUAGUUUUCCCACCCACUUGCACCAGAAAAUCUAAUAAAGUCAUGUGAUUAAUACAAUUCAUUUUAUCACGCUUCUGAAGAUUUAAGAGAGAGCGGUCACAUUGGAUUCCACAGUACCGACCUUCUGACGAUUCUUCAUUUCACCUUUAUCUAUUUUUAUUUUUAUUUUAUUUUUUUUUCGAGACGGGGUCUCACUCUGUCACCCAGGCUGGAGUGCAGUGGGGCAAUUACGGCUCACUGCAACCUCUGCCUUCUGUGCUCAAGCAAUCCUCCCACCUCAGCCUCCCAAGUAGCUGGGAUCAUAGGUGCACAUCACCAAGCCUGGCUAAUUUUUUGUAUUUUUGGUAGAGAUGGGGUUUCACCAUGUUGCCCAGGCUGGUCUUGAACUUCUGAGCUCAAGUGAUCUGCCCACCAUAGCCUCCCAAAGUGCUGGGAUUACUCACGUGAGCCACCUCGCCUGGUCCCUUUCACCUUUAUUAUCUUUGCCUUUAACUCUAGUGCUUCCUCCCUGAAUCAGUUAAGGAUUGCAUUUGGCUGCAUUAACAGAAACCUGACUGCAGAAGCUUAACCAAAUAGGGUAGUUUUUAAAGAGAGAUUGCUUACAUCACGCAAAUUGCACAAAUUUUAAGUGCAUAGUUCAAUGAGUUUUGACAAAUGUAGAAUAACAUAGCUAUAUAAAACCAUUCCAUCAAAAAAAUUUUAUCACCAUAGGAAAUUGUGUCCUGUCCCUUUCUUGUCAAUCCCAACUCCUCCCCACAAGGCAACCUUCAUUCUCAUUUCUCUCACCAUAGCUUAGUUUUACAUGUUUCUAUAAUACAGCAUCAUAUAAAUGGAAUAAUACAGAAUGCAAUCUUUUGUAUGAAGCUUCCUUUGGCUCAAUGUAAUGUUUAUGAGAUUCAUCCAUGUUAUUGAAUGUAUCAGUAGUGUUUUCAUUUAUAUUUCCUAGUGUUCUAUUGAAUAAAUAUACUACAAUUUGUUUAUCCACUUAUUUGUUGAUGAACAUUUGGACCGUUGGCAAUUUUUGCCUAUUAUGCAUAAAGCUGUUAAAAAACA